rnacentral:lncRNA from 1 species
GUAGAGAAGCUGAUCCAAACCAGAUUUUUGCCUAAAUCUUGAAACUUGUUGAAACACAUGCUUUCUAUUUGAAAACUAGAAAACUUGUUGGUGCUCUUGAUGCAUCGUGUGAUCUUUGAGGUUAUUUUCUAGUUAUGGCACAGCCUUGUUGCUCUGCACUUGAAUAAAUUUAUUUUUAUACCCUAUGUAUACCACAUAUAAUUUGAAAAUAGUAACAAAAUUAGACCUUUGAAUGAUAUCUGAAAACUCUAGCAAAUGAGUAUCUCUAGAAAAAUACAAAACAUUUUACAAUUAAGACAAAUUACAUAAAAUUAAUAGAAAUAGGCAGUACUGUCAGGAAAAAAUGGAGGAUAUCAAUAAAAUAUUAAAGAGGAAAAAUUAUUAAAAGUAUUUAAAAUGAAAGAAAGUGUAAAAGGAACUAUACUCCUCGGGGGAGAGGAGGAGCGCGCUUAUAAAGGCGUGAGUUCGACAACUCAAUCACUUUUGUAUAAAAUAUUUAUUUGAAUUAAUAAAUUUAUUAAAUAUAUAUAAAUAUUUAAUUGCGAACCAAUAACAAAGGCAGUAAAUAUGGGCACUGCAGCAAAUUCAGGAUCCGUAAACUUCAAAUUUUGACUUCGCCUAUGAUACUCUUGGGAAAUAACUUGGAAAAAAAAUGACAAAGAAAGAUAGAAAUGCUUAAAUGCAGCGUAUAAAGAUAAGGUAUUAUUCAUUUAUUCGAACUCAGGUAACUUUCAAUUUAUAUAAUCACUAAAUUGAAAUAUGUGAUUUUUAAUGUCAUAAUAUUUAUAUAGCUAUAAAAAUUAUAAAAUUUACAAUCUUAAAUAUCUAAUAGUAAUACUUAUGUGGUUAUAAAAAAAAAAAACUUAAGCGUCAAAUAAUAAUUUUAAAGUGAAGUUAUAUUUAAAUAUAAAAAUAUGUAUCUUUAUUAAAUUAUUAAUAUAAAAAAUUAUGUCACAUAAAAUAAAAUCUAUCUAUAUAGAAUAGGAGAAGCAAAACCACUACAUUAAGACAAGUGUGUUAGACACAAAAUGUCAAGUGGCUUUGUUAAGACAAAAUAAACUACUUUUCUAACCAAUUUGUUUUGAAUUUUGAAUUAAUUGGUUACACAAAUUGAAUUAAUAAAUAUAGAUAUCAUAUAACUAUUUAAAAAAAACGAAAAUACAAAAAAAUAUUCUACUCGUUCAAAUUGGAGUAGUUUUAAGUUGGAGUUUUAAAAUUAUUUUACAAUAAAAUAAUAAAAGUUAAAAACUAGCAUUUUAAAUCUAUAUCUAUAUCUAUCUAUAUAGACUAUGAGAACCAAAACCAAUACAUUAAGACAAGUGUCUUAACCACAAAAUACCAAGUGACUUUGUUAACAUAAAAUAAACUACUUUUCUAACCAAUUUUUUUGAGUUUUGAAUUAAUUGAUUACACUAAUUGAAUUAGAGUUUUAAAAUUAUUUUACAAUAAUAUACUAAAAGUUAAAAACUAACAUUUUAAAUAUCUCUCUCUCUAUAUAUAUAGAGAGAGAUUUAACUAACAGCGGGAUGCGCGAGUAUAAUUUAAUUAAUAUUUUUUAUUACUAGUAUAAUAAUAGAGGAUGUCAAAUGAAAAUGAACUGUAUAAGCUAUCCCCUCUAGCUCUAAGUCUGCAGAGACAAAAUGGAAAAAUCUCAAGAGAUUCUACUCAACUCCAUCGCCAAUUCAGGGGUGACGAUACCUCCCGGCAUCUCAUCGGUCAAAGAUCUCACGCCGGAAACAUUAUUCUUUAUCUCCUCCCAGUCAUUGCACCUCAUUGACCAAAAUUCAUCCUUUACCUCUUCCUUGCCGGAGAACUCAGUGUCCGACCGCUUAAGGCUCUGCUCCGACCUUGCCUACGCUUUCAAAACCCUAGGUUUCGUCGGUGACAUCAGCUUCCACAAGGUUUUACUUACUACUACUGUUAUAUAUACCUCUCCAUUUUCUUCUUAUUCUUUUGAUUUUAUAUCUAAUACGCCGUCGUUUUACUGGCAUUCUGCACAAUUAAGAACUGCUUUUUGCAAACGAAACCGAAUUUGAUAAGUCUUUAUAGUAUUUUUGAUGAGUUGGAUUUUUUAUUUUUAUUAUUGCUUUUCUACUUCCAGAGAUCUCAAUGUUUAUUCUGUUGAAGUUUUGUUUAAUCUGUCAAAUUAUCUUCGUUCGUAGAAGGUGUUGCAUCUAACUGCGUCUUGUUAAAGGAAUUAAUUGAUUUUGAUGUGCAUUAGUGCUUGAUCAGGCAUGUUACUAAAAGCCUUCUCUUUGCCGCUUAUAUGAAAGCAAUGCGAACGAGGGAUUAUCGCUUCCUAGGUGAAGACGUGUGCUUCCUUUAAAUUGAUGACUUCACAAAGUGAGUUAAACGAAAAGUUAUCAGUUCUUUAAAUCUCAACUUUGAAGAGUUGGAUUAAUAUUGACAUUAUUGUAUAUUGGAGGUUGAAAUUAGUUAUGUUAAUUACAAUUUGACUAAUAUAUUACGAAAUUCAUUUUUUUAAAUGACAAUGGUGUGUGGGCCAACUUGCGAGCAACUCUACAAAUCCACUAACGUACCGGGUAACUCCGUCAACCAAGGUUUAGGCAAAUGGAAAGAAAUCACCUAGUGUUUUUUGGCCUCCACUGGGAUUUGAAUUGGAGAUGUCAUGGUUCUCCUCCUAUUUCAUUGACCACUAGGCCACAUUACUAAAUUCAUAUAUGUCUAGUUAUCUUCUGUGAUUGUGUGCUUCACUUCUCUCUUUUUGCUUCAAGCUCCAAGAACUUUGUCAUUUCUUUUUUCACGCCGCUUUUAAAAAUGCUGUGUUGCUACAUGUGUCUGUUACAUUUGUCUACAUUUGUGCUUAGAGCAAGCGUUAUGUCUAUUGCUUAGGCAGUUUCUUUAUCCAUCGGAAGAGGACUUGUACGAGUUGGUCCGAUUCUUGGUUGGGAGGCUAUCCGAUUUUGAAGUUCGAAAAGAUGCAGUUAGUGAAUCUAUUAUAUGCCUUAAGACUCCAGAAGCAAAUGUUGAUGAUACAGGACCACUGCCACACAAGGAGCUUUUGGGAAGAGUGGGUGAUCCAUUGAUGAUGACACAAACACCAGAGUCGUCACAGCGAUCUUAUCUUACCAUGAAUAAGAUGGAUGAGUUUUAUAAUGGUGUUCAUAUGCCUGGAGAGGGUAGAGUUGACUCCAGCGAGGAGAUAUCAGGCGGUGAACAAGACGUCCUGGAUUUGGUGGGCGGCGUGAGGAGUUCAUUGAGGGAAAUUGAACAUGAUUCUGAAUAUGGACAGCAAUCAACUUCGCCGUGCGUGAAUUUGCCUCAGGUACUUAAUAGCAGGUGGAUUGCAUCUGAUCUUUUAGUGAAUUUUUGGUAGACCUUUUAGGCUUUGAGGUAGAUAGGUCAAUGUUAAUGGAGCGGACAAGCUGACAAUUAGAAUUGGAGCAUAUUUAGGGAACAGAAAAUGAUAUUUGAUUUUGUGGUUAGCCUUUCAGAAAGACUCGAGCAUGUUAACUUCUCUUAUUAUUUCAUGCCAUUCUGCAGAUGAACUGCAAAACAGAAAUUUUACAAGACCAAAAGGAAAUGCUCGUGGAUAAGUCAGUCUCAGGGUCUAUCGAAUUACAUAAACUACAAGAAAAGCUUGGUUUGUUGAGAGCAGCAGUUAAUAUGGCUUCUAAUGAAAGACGUCCCACUGACUUUUAUGUGGAUCAACUAAACGAUCCGGUGGAACUGAAAAUGGGCAAAAUUGUCGAAAGGGAGAGCCACUGGUAGUAUAAUGAUCUGUCGCUUUAUUAAGCAUCCCUAGGACACCUCACCAAAAAAAAAAAAAGAGGAACGAUUCAGUCUCAUGCAUGUUAUAGACUUCUAACAUCAUUUCUUAUAUUUUUUCUUUUGAAACUUCGAUAACUAUCUCAACUGUAGUUCUGCCUACAUAUAAAAAUGUUUUUUGCUGGUUACAGAUGCAAGCUUGGGAUAACUUCUAAAGUCUCUUGCAGGAAUGAUAAGAGAAAGGCCCUUGAGCAGGAAAAGAGUGAUCUUGAGGAAACGUUAAAAGCAACAGAGCCAGAGAGCUAUUUAAAAUAUAAAAAGUUGGAAGAGAUUGAGUUGGAGCUUGAGUUUAUAUUAGCUGAAAAGAAAAAAAGGUAGGUCACAUCAAUUAAAUAAUUAAGUCAUGCAGACUCUCCAUCGCCUUUUAGAUUACCUAGUUUGACUAGGAACAAAAUUGAGAGAAGAAAUUGUGUUAUAGCCAAUGAAAGAAGUAGCAGAAGAAAUCACAGAAUAGGAAACUCCAUUUGUUCGAUUUUGAAUUGGUAAAUGUAUUAGAGGAUAACAAUUAAUAUGUGAAAAGUGGAAUAUUUAGUUGAAAAUAUGAUACGGCAUGAUUAAGUUACUAUACAACACUAUUGGUUCUUAUCGGUUAGAUUCUUUGAGAAUAGAAUCUGUCGUUACUCAUUAGAGGAAAGAGGCUAAAUAGUGUGGGAUAGAGGGAUAUUUGUCUAUAUAUAAAUCAGAGCUUUUUACGCGGCUUAAAGCCUUAACAUGUUACUGCAUGUAAAACGUGGUAAGAAUUAAUGACUGGAACAGACACUAUCUGUCCUGCAGAUUGUCAUGGUUUUGUGAGCCUUGAGAACUGCUAGACUAUAUGGGUUACGAUGUUAACUCAUUUCUGUAAGUAUGUUCAGAAAUUGCAUCAAGGUGGUAACUUUGUCUGGAUGUUUGCUAUCUGUCACUCUACAGAGAGGAGGAACUUAUAAUACUCUCAGCAAAGACCAAGAAGCUGCCCGAAUUAGAACCUAGGAGUACCUACAUUCAGCGUAUUGAAGAGAUCACAAAAAACAGCCGGAAGCAGGAAGCUGACAUAGAAAGAAUCUUAGAAGAAACAAGGGAGCUUCAGUUGGAGAGCAAUUCUAUCCAAGAACGGCUUAAUCGAACUCAUGCAGUGGUGGAUGAGAUGGUGUUCAGGUACAAUCUUUUGAUAUGCUGGUGAAUACAAAAUUGGCAGUGUUAAUGAGAAUGUAGAUUUCUCUAAUAAUGUAAAUUGUCUAUAUUUUUUUUACAAGGGAGGCAAAAAAAGACCAGGUAGGACGGCAAGCUUACAGGAUACUUACUAGCAUCCAUGACAGCUUUGAACAAAUAGCCGAAAAUCUUCUUGCAGCGGAUAGAGCCCGAAGAGAAGUGGCUGAUUAUGAAGGCAAGCUUGCAACUAUGGCAUCUCGGACCGUUGAUAUUGACAAGUUGAAAGCAGACCUUGAUACCAUCAGGAGGGAAAAUGAUCUUCUUGAAGCACGUCUGUCCGAGAAUUUGUCCAAAGACUCGUCACAAAGUGUAGGGUAGAACGGCCGAAGUUGCCGUUGAUAUUGACAAGCUGAAAGCAGACCUUGAUACCAUCAGGAGGGAAAAUGAUCUUCUUGAAGCACGUCUGUCCGAGAAUUUGUCCAAAGACUCGUCACAAAGUGUAGGGUAGAACGGCCGAAGUUGAUUGAUUCUUUAAGAUGAAAAGCUUGAAUGUUGAGAACUCUUUUGCCGCAUAUUUUGAAAUGUGACACCACACACACACAGUGAGUGAUUGAUGAUAAUAAGGAUCCCCAUUUGACGAUAUUGAGACUUGCUCUACAUUUUCUCACCGGAGUAACUAUAGUUGACGUUGCCUGUAAUCAUGAGCCUUGAAACAAACGUGAGGUUACUUCCACAUUCUGAGAUGUGGGGGUCUGCUCUUCUUUAUUUUUCCUUCAAAUAAUGAGAAGCCUGACUAAGGUUUUACCAUUUGAAACAUACGCCCAUGCUACUUUUUGAUUCUUUUUUCUAAGCGAAAUAUUUUAAAUUGUAGGACAUGAAACUGUAAGAUAUAUGGAUUUAUAUCUAGAUAUAUGGACUUAUAUCUACACACAUAUGAACAAUAUAUGGAUAAUUAUAUGUUAUGUGCUAACUUUUGGUUUGGCCUAAUUAUGUGGUCUUAUGGACAUUAUGUUAAGGGGGCCAAUGUAUUGUCAUACUAAAGUGUAGGACUAAUGUGUAGAUACCCAAAANNNN